UAAUUUUGAUUUACCCACAGUGUAUCCCAUUGCAUGUACUUUUUACUCCUUUGUCCCGAACUUGCUGAGUCUUGCUUUCAAAGUUUCUAGCUACUGAACUGCAGAGCAGAUGAAAAUCUCAUAAAUAUUCCCAUAUGGCAUAUUUGUAGAAAGAAGAUGGAUGUACAAGAUAGGGUUCCUUUUAUGUCUGUUGCCUGAGAAAAAUAGAACUAUGUUCUAUGCCCUGUGUAUUUACCUGUUGUUGAAGUAAAUAUCUCUUAUAAGAAUUUCCAUAGAGACCAAGAGGGUGGAUCUAAGAAUCUUUGGAAAGACUCGGAAUAGGACACUAGCUGAACAGAACUUUGGUCCUCAGUAUUGGAAGAUGAUCCAAAAACAAGAGAAGAUAAAAGCUGUGCCAACUAGCAAGUCCUGUCRUUACCAAGCAAUAAGGAGAAAGCAAUAGAUUUCUUCCUCCAAGGUAUUUGCAAGGACUUCUGAACUCUUUUCCAAAACCAAACCUGUUUGGAGUAGCCUAGAGCUUUUUCUUGCUGCUGUAUAAUGAAUUUUCUUUCCAGACUGCAGCAAAGCAAAGAGGUAUGGGGAAACAGACUUUUUGAACGGAAAUAUGCAGUUUCAAGUGAGUGGAAAUAACAUAAAAACUUGGAUUGAACUCCCAAACAGUUUUAAUGGAAAAUAAUGGGAGCAAUAGCAUAAAUAUUUCAGUUCUCCAGAUCUUUAUCAACCAGGGUCUUUGAGCUUUGUACAAACUUGGUGCCAGCACCACUAAAGUUUGAGAGACUAAACUUUUAGACAGGAUGUCUAGAUGCUCAGGUUCAGCUACCUCUUGCAUUUGAUUUGAAGUAGGUUCUU
rnacentral:lncRNA from 1 species